rnacentral:misc_RNA from 1 species
AAAUAUACAAAUAAAUAAAUAUACAUUAACGACAAAAGAAAUAUAAUAAGACAUAUCUGGAAAAAAAAUAACAUUUGAGGACAACUAUACGGUCGAUAAACUCGUGCCCUCUUUCAAAGUUGUUGAAAUUUUUUCAAUAAAUCCAAGCAUUAUUUCAACGUUGCUAUCAUCUAGUCUAGGUAUGGUAUGUCCUUUAGGGUGGUGAAUCACUUGAGUAUCCACAAAACACUCUAGCAGAAUUUCACCAUCUUUUCUUUGAAAAUCUGCCUCUCCUAAGAAGUGAAGGGAUGGACAAUUGAUAGUAGAUGAAAAUGCAUUUGCAACCAAUUUUGGUAUCCCAUAAGUUGGCCCUCCAAAUUUAGCUCCUGAUAUUAUUAUCACAAACUUUAUUUUUGGAACUUUUGUUAAAGCCACUCCAUCCCUUUGCAUCCCUGGUAUUGCUGCACCUAAAACAGCUCCCUGUGAGAAACCAAGAAUACCAUCAAAAGGUCCAUUCUUUAACAUAAAAUCUUCUAUAUACUCGAGGCAUUCUUCAAAAUUGUAAAAUUCUGUAAAAUCCUUAUUUGCUUGAAACCAUUCAUAGUAAGGAGGAUCAAAAAAACCUUCAAGUGGAGAUUUCCCCUGAGCCGGAAAAGGUGCAUCCAAAAACACCAAAUCUAAUUUUCCGAUGACGGAUUCCGGCCACCGGAAAAUCAAUUUCUUGAGUAUUUUAGCACUUUCUCUAUAGCCAUGGAGACAUAAA